GAUGAACGCUGGCGGCGUGCCUAAUACAUGCAAGUCGAGCGAACAGAUAAGGAUCUUGCUCCUUGGACGUUAGCGGCGGACGGGUGAGUAACACGUGGGUAACCUACCUAUAAGACUGGGAUAACUUCGGGAAACCGGAGCUAAGACCGGAUAACAUUGGGAACCGCAUGGUUCUAAAGAGAAAGAUGGUUUUGCUAUCACUUAUAGAUGGACCCGCGCCGUAUUAGCUAGUUGGUAAGGUAACGGCUUACCAAGGCGACGAUACGUAGCCGACCUGAGAGGGUGUUCGGCCACGCUGGAACUGAGACGCGGUCCAGACUCCUACGGGAGGCAGCACUAGGGACUCUUCCGCAAUGGGCGAAAGCCUGACGGAGCAACGCCGCGUGAGUGAUGAAGGGUUUCGGCUCGUAAAACUCUGUUAUUAGGGAAGAACAAAUGUGUAAGUAACUGUGCACGUCUUGACGGUACCUAAUCAGAAAGCCACGGCUAACUACGUG
rnacentral:rRNA from 1 species